rnacentral:ncRNA from 1 species
CCUCCUCCUAUAAAAUAGUUAAUAAAGAUGAUGAAAUAGUCUGAACCAUUUUGAGAAAAGUGGAAAUAAAAGGAAAAACCUUUUAUGAUAACAUAAAUUGAACAGGCUAAUUUGCGCAAGAGAGUACAAAUUGAGUGCGCGGUUUGGCACCUCGAUGUCGGCUUAGCUCAUCCACAUGAAUGCAAAAAUCAUGAAGGGUUCGACUGUUCGUCGAUUAAAGAGCUACAUGAGCUGGGUUUAAUACGUCGUGAGACAGUAUGGUUUCUAUCUUCUAGAGGGAAUUAAAGUAUAAUAAAGAUAGCCCCUUCGUACGAAAGGAGUUGGGUAUAUUGACCUAUGGUUUACCUGUUGUUUAUGCUAUAUAUUAUAUAUUAUAUACUAUAUAAUAUAUCGUUUACUUAUACUUAAGUAAAUUGUUCACAUAGGCAUGGCAGGAAGGCUACGUCAGUUAAAGAUAAGUGCUGAAAGCAUUUAAGCGCGAAGCUUACUUUAGGAUACUUUUAAACGUAGUAGAACACUACGAGUAUAAUUGUUAUAACCCUUCGGAUAUAACGAUUAAUAGGCUUUAGUUGUAUUAAUUUUAAUAUUUUUAGACAUAAAGUACUAAUUAUUAAAAUACUAAAUAUU